CAUUUUUGCUGUUUACAGUUUAUCUCUAUCUAUAAUAAUAUUCAAGAUAAUAAACAAAAACAGCAAAAUGUCCUUAAAAUUACCAAUUCAGGGGCAGCAACCUAUCAACAGGUUGUCCGAUUCAUCUCAAAAUUUCAGGGCAGAUAUAUCUUACCCUGAUAAACAAUUUUUACCACAUGUCAGAUUUGCUCUAAAUGCUUUGGUUUUUGAGUGAUAAGCCAAAAACUGCAUUUUACCCCUAUGUUCCAUUUUUAGUCAUGGCGGCCAUCUUGGUUGGUUGGCAGGGUCACCGGACACAAUUUUUAAACUAGAUACCCGAAUGAUGAUUGUGGCUAAGUUUGAUUUAAUUUGGUCCAGUAGUUUCAGAGGAGAAGAUUUUUGUAAAAGAUAACUAAGAUUUACGAAAAAUGGUUAAAAAUUUACUAUAAAGGGCAAUAACUCCUAAAGGGGUCAACAGACCAUUUUGGUUAUGUUGACUUAUUUGUAGAUCUUACUUUGCUGAACAUUUUUGC
rnacentral:lncRNA from 1 species